rnacentral:rRNA from 1 species
GACGAACCGUGCGAACGUUGUUCGGAAUCACUGGGCUUAAAGGGCGCGUAGGCGGGAUGGCAAGUCGGUCGUGAAAUCCCUCGGCUCAACUGAGGGUCGUCGAUCGAUACUGCCGUUCUUGAGGAUUGCAGAGGAGACUGGAAUUCCCGGUGUAGCGGUGAAAUGUGUAGAGAUCGGGAGGAACACCGGUGGCGAAGGCGGGUCUCUGGGCAAUUCCUGACGCUGAGGCGCGAAAGCGUGGGGAGCAAACGGG